rnacentral:lncRNA from 1 species
ACUACAAAGGAGAGUUAGUUUUCUACAUUGUCACCUGCAGGUCCUGGCUCCAUACUGUUAACUGCUUAAAGCAGUGGUAGAUUGCCUUCAGUUCUUCAUGAUGUGACUGUCAGGCAAGGAGUGCUUGUCUGACUGCUGCUCCCAUUUACUCAAAAGGAAGAUCUGGUAUCAACACUAAGCACUAGCUUUGGGAGUCCUGCAGUCUUGGAUCAGGAUGGGGAGAUAAGAUUGUGUCUUUCAGGAGGGACCAUCUCAGUGCAGUCUCUAUUCUCAGGCACUGCUUUCCAUCCCACCCGCAGCUCCUGUACCAGAC